AAGGAGAAUGUCAUGACCCAAACCGAUGGUCCGUGAUGGGCACCCGAUAUCUUACUCAACCGAGUACCAACAUAACGUAUCUUUUUGUAUCAUACUAUCAUAAAUAACUGAGUCGGAGAGGCUGACGUAAAAUAGGUAGAAUACAACAUGUAAUACCAAUCUAUACAUAAGAUAUACAAGCCUAUAAGCCCAAAAUAACCACUCGUAUCCUGAAUAUAGGCUGACAAGGCCAUACAAUAUCUUACGUACAUGACAUCUGUCUACAAGUCUUUAUGAUACGAAAUUUUCAUAGAGGUCGAGACAGAUUCCCGCCAUACCAAACAAUAUACGUCUAAAUCAUACUAACCAAACAAGCAACUCCGAAGCAAAUGGAGCACGCCAACAUCUUCCGCUGAGCUGAUAGCCUACUUGGAGGGCUUUCGACCUGUCUAUCGGGACCUGCGGGCAUGAAACGCAACGUCCCCACGCAAAAGGGACUCAGUACAAAUAAUGUACCGAGUAUGUAAGGCACAUAAAUAAGUACAUAAUAGACAUGGAAGAAAUAUAGAGUAAUUGACUCAACCUGUAAGUCUGGAAAACUUUGUAAAUUAUAAAAUACUUAUAGUGUCAUGCAUANNNNNNNNNNNNNNNNNNNNNNNNNGUACGUUAAUAAAAAUUUCGGAAUGUCAUAAGACCAUUUUGCCUUUGAAUAAUAUCAUAAAGUAAACUCUUUUCAACUUUUGUAUUUUUCUGAGACCCAUAAACAGAUGAUAAAAUAUUAUGACACAUGGAAAUUCAAGAACAUAAAUAUCUCUAAUACUUCAAUGAAUAGAGUCAUUUAUGGAAUUUGUGUGUUUGCACGUUUCGUUUGUGUCGUAUAGAUCAUGCCAAAAGAAAGAAGGGAUAGCCUUAACAUACCUGAAUCAAUUCUCUUGACAAUCCCUCCAAUACACGUUGAUUGCGAUAAAAUAUAUAACGGCGGAUCGAAGUGGGAGAAAAUUCAUAUGAUAUUCUUGAGAAAAGUUAUACCGUACUCCCCUUAGAAUCGUGAAAUCCCGUUGCUAUUACGCAGUAUAAUUUCGGAUAAAACAAUUUGCUGAAGCAAAAUCGCGUAGAUCUAAUCCUUGUAAGGAUUUAUGUGAAUUCCAUACAUUAGGGAUCCUUGGCAGAAUGUCUUUUGUCCAUAACAUUGCCAAUAUAAUAGUUUGACUAAAGUGUUUUGAGAAUGGGGUUUAUUCA
rnacentral:lncRNA from 1 species